rnacentral:rRNA from 1 species
AGCAGCCGCGGUAAUUCCAGCUCCAAUAGCGUAUAUUAAAGUUGUUGCAGUUAAAAAGCUCGUAGUUGAAUUUCGGGAUCAAAUUGUCGGUCGUGCCUCGGUACGAACUGGUAUUAUUGGUUCCUACCUUCUGAAGAAUCGCGAUGUCAUUAAUUUGGUGUCGUGGGGAAUCAGGACUGUUACUUUGAAAAAUUAGAGUGUUUAAAGCAGGCUUACGCUUGAAUACAUUAGCAUGGAAUAAUGAAAUAGGACGUUUGAUUCUAUUUUGUUGGUUUCUAGGAUUGACGUAAUGAUUAAUAGGGAUAGUUGGGGCAUUAGUAUUCAAUUGUCAGAGGUGAAAUUCUUGGAUUUAUUGAAGACUAACUACUGCGAAAGCAUUUGCCAAGGAUGUUCUCAUUAAUACAAGAACGAAAGUUAGGGGAUCGAAGACGAUCAGAUACCGUCGUAGUCUUAACCAUAAACUAU